CGCGGGGUGGAGCAGCUGGUAGCUCGUCGGGCUCAUAAUCCGAAGGUUGGGGGUUCGAGUCCCCCCUCCGCAACCA
rnacentral:tRNA from 1 species